GGGAAAGUGGCUCAGUGGUAGAGUGCUUGCCUUGCAUGCAUGAGGCCCUGGGUUCGAUUCCUCAGCCCCA
rnacentral:tRNA from 1 species